rnacentral:lncRNA from 1 species
UUCUCGAAAUCAGUGUGGAUUCCUGAGACAAUGUGGUAUGAGGGACUCAGAGGAAUGAAAUCUCCAUUCAAAUUAUGCUCUCUUCAUCUCAAAAAUUACAAAUUUGGAAUUAAAAAAGGAAGACCUUCCUUUAAGCUGUAACCUCCUAGAAAGUUUGCCCCGUGGACUUGUGGUUCCCUCUGCUGCUCUUCCCUGACUACCUGCUAAUCCUACUUAUCAGUGCUGCCCUCUCCCCCUUACAUGCUGCUCCCUUUGGCUGGAACACUAUUCUUGAAUGGAGAGUCCCUCCUGGGCCUGGUGCCACCUCAUCAGCCAUCUGAUUUCACUUCCUCAGGAAUUCCCCCAAUUAGACGGCAUUCUUCUGAUUACGCAUUCACAACACCCCAUACUGUUCUCUUGUAGAACUUAUCACAGUUUAUAACAAUAUUUGUGUGAUUAUUUUAUUCAAAUCUUCCUCCCACAGUAAAAUGCAACCUCUGUGAUUUUAUGCAUUCUGUUUGGGACCAUUCCUGUUUGGUUCUCCAUUGUACCCUCAGAACUUAAUGCAGUCAUCUAUGUAAUGAAUACCUUCGAAUGAAUAAAUGAUGAGAGAAGAUACUUGUUGAAAUCUUUUCAGAAAUACCUAAAAUGUGAUUUGUAAAUGUAUUAGUGAUGAGGAUAACAAUAAAAAUCAAAUUUAUAAAAAAA